UACAGAGGAUGCAAGCGUUAUCCGGAAUGAUUGGGCGUAAAGCGUCUGUAGGUGGCUUUUUAAGUCCGCCGUCAAAUCCCAGGGCUCAACUCUGGACAGGCGGUGGAAACUACCAAGCUGGAGUACGGUAGGGGCAGAGGGAAUUUCCGGUGGAGCGGUGAAAUGCGUAGAGAUCGGAAAGAACGCCGGCGGCGAAAGCGACUCUCUGGUCGGAAUCUGACGCUGAGGUGCGAAAGCUAGGGGAGCAAACGGGG
rnacentral:rRNA from 1 species